rnacentral:rRNA from 1 species
CCUACGGGAGGCAGCAGUGAGGAAUAUUGGUCAAUGGACGCAAGUCUGAACCAGCCAUGCCGCGUGCAGGAAGACGGCUCUAUGAGUUGUAAACUGCUUUUGUACGAGGGUAAACGCAGAUACGCGUAUCUGUCUGAAAGUAUCGUACGAAUAAGGAUCGGCUAACUCCGUACCAGCAGCAGCGGUAAUACGGAGGAUUCAAGCGUUAUCCGGAUUUAUUGGGUUUAAAGGGUGCGUAGGCGGUCUGAUAAGUUAGAGGUGAAAUCCUGAGGCUCAACCUCUGAAUUGCCUCUGAUACUGUUCGUCUAGAGAAUAGUAGCGGUAGGCGGAAUGCAUGGUGUAGCGGUGAAAUGCUUAGAGAUCAUACAGAACACCGAUUGCGAAGGCAGCUUACCAAGCUACUUCUGACGUUGAGGCACGAAAGCGUGGGGAGCAAACAGGAUUAGAUACCCGAGUAGUC